rnacentral:lncRNA from 1 species
AGGUUGUAAGCUCUGCCCUGGAUAGGAGGCCUUCAUUGAUUCUGGUUUCUCGGGCAUUCUCUUGCAUAAUGCUGGGAACUGCCACAUAUGCGACACGUGUUGUUGAGGCGGUAGCAUGGUCGGUCCUCGUGAUCUCUACCGCAGUGCUAACAGAUCUUCCCACGUGCUGCCCCUAGAGCCUGAGGAGGGGCCUGGAUGGCUGGUCUGGGCCUCUUAUUUGGUUGGACAGGCGCAGUAGGUGCUAGCUUGCGGAACGGAGCUGAGGGUCGGGAUCUCCCCGCUGGCUGAGGACUGGUAUUAAAGCUCUUUUCCACGAUCUGUGCCUUUGCUAAAACUGCUGAAUAUGUCUUGAGC